GCAAACCCAUGGACAGUAGCUUGCCAGGCUCCUCUGUCCAUGGGAUUUCCCAGACAAGAAUACUGGAGUGGGUUGCCAUUCCCUUCUCCAGGGGAUCUUCCCCACUCAGGAUCAACCCUGCUGGGUCUCCUGCAUUGCAGGUGGAUUCUUUUUUUUUUUUUUUUAAAUUAUAUGACAUUUUUAUUUUAGGAUGCGAAAACAAAAAUGAGCAAACAAACAAACAAAAAACUUGAAAUAGGCUUGUCAAAUGGUGUAAAUUCAUCCUUUCCAUGGAAGCAGAAGGCAGAUCAGUGCAGGUUAUCCUCAGGGCCUCACACAUCCUGCUUCACUGCUGCUUGCACUCUGCUGGGUUCUGAUCAUUCUUUGGGUCAUGGUCUGGAUCAUUUUCCUCAUCUCCUUCUUCUUCCCCUUCCUCAUCGGCUUCUUCACCUUCUUCAUCAUAAUUAUCAUCAUCAUCUUCAAUCUUGGCCUUUUCUUUCAGCUCCUCCGAAAUUUCAUCUUCCUCAUCUGGUUUCCAUUCACAUUCUUCUUCUGUAGGUUCAUAAAUGGCAUUAAUGAUCUCAAAUCGCUUAUCAAACAGAGGCUGAUAAAGAACAGCAUACUUUCUUUCAAGAUCAUGAACUUCCUCAUAGAAUUUGGCUUCUAUCUGUGCACAUUUAACUUGAAGGUUUUUGAGAGCAUUCACUCGUCUUUUAACUACCCUAGGCAAGCUUUCAAUGUAUCCUGUUGGUGUUUCUACCAGACCAUCAAGUCUUUCUUGAAGGGCUGCAAGAAUCUGAGGAUUUUGCAUCAUCUGAACAGUCAGCUGACGCCCUUUGAUUUUUGUUUCUUCACCAGUGUUUUCUUCUUCUACUUCUUCAACAUCAUCCAAAUCUUGAUCAAGUUCAGACUGUUCUUUGUUGUCGAUGUCUGCCAUGUUGUACAAAUGCCAAGUAUCGGUGGCGAGCGCGGGGAGCCGAGCGGCCCGAGGUGCACAGGCAGUGACUCAGGGCGGUGGCGGGAUAAGUUUAUAAGAGUACAAUAUAAUAUUUAACUGUAGUAUUACCAUUCAAUGGUUAAUUCCAGAAAGUCAGAGAGACAAUCAAAUAAAAUAUUACCUAUUCUAAUCAAAUUAAUUAUAUCAUACACCUCAGUACAGCUUUUAUUAUUUUGACAUAUAUACUAGUUAUUAUUCUCAUAAGAAAAGAUAUUUUCCAAAGCAUUAUAUAUAAAUACUAGAGAGAAAUUUUUGAUGUAGAUGUAUCACAGCCUACCCCUAGUAUCCAACCUACAUAUGUUACAUACAUACUCUCAUACAUGAAUUGCUAUUAGAUUUGCUAAAAGC
rnacentral:lncRNA from 1 species